AUGGUGGGCACUCUAAGGAGACUGCCGGUGACAAACCGGAGGAAGGUGGGGAUGACGUCAAGUCAUCAUGGCCCUUACGGCCUGGGCUACACACGUGCUACAAUGGUCGGUACAGAGGGUUGCCAAGCCGCGAGGUGGAGCUAAUCCCAUAAAACCGAUCGUAGUCCGGAUCGCAGUCUGCAACUCGACUGCGUGAAGUCGGAAUCGCUAGUAAUCGCGAAUCAGAAUGUCGCGGUGAAUACGUUCCCGGGCCUUGUACACACCGCCCGUCACACCAUGGGAGUGGGUUGCACCAGAAGUAGCUAGUCUAACCUUCGGGAGGACGGUUACCACGGUGUGAUUCAUGACUGGGGUGAAGUCGUAACAAGGUAGCCGUAGGGGAACCUGCGGCUGGAUCACCUCCUUAA
rnacentral:rRNA from 1 species